CUAUUUUCUACCUUUGGGUGGAUUUACAGGUAGUAGUUAUUACAGUGAUUUUUCUACCUAUUUCUUGACUGUGACUGUGAUAUUAACCUUUUAUAAUUAAGACGCUCUGUCUCUUUGACACAUAGCAUGCCCUUUUAGUUCGUCUUAAUUUUUUUAACCUCCAGUCAUUUUUUAAAAAUUGUAUCCAUUUACUCAUGUACCACUUCAUUGGUACCUUCAAAUGCUAAAUGCUGUCUCAUUUAUCCUUAGUAAUCAUGCUGGAUUUUUCUGUCCUUUUUAAUAUUUAGGUUUUAUUGGAUGAAUGUAGAUUGCACCUUCUCUAACUGUGUCUUAAAUAAUUGCCACUUAAGGGAAUUAAGAACUACAAGGGAAGGAAAAUGCUGACCCAUAGACUAAGCAGAGGGAGAAAACGUUCCCACUGGGUCCAAUUUCCUAAGAAGGACCAUCAGGAUAGUGGCUGGGACCUGAAAUUAUGGUCUGAAUGACCUCUAGCAAAUGUUCAGCUCACAAAGGAACUUGCCUGUGUGUGCACCAAGCAAAAUAGGGCUAGGUGGUAGUCACCCCACUGAAGAAAGACAGCUAGCUCCCUGUCCUUGGCAAGGUUAUAAAAGCUCGAGGAGAAAAAAUAAUCAUUUAGAGCAUGGAGACAGAGUUGACAUUGCAGGAUAAGACGUGAUCCAAGGUUUAAUACAAGCUAGCGCAGGGAUGCCUUUGAUCCAGAAGGUAGGUCAAGAAGUCCCUUAAAUUCUAAACAUGCACUUUUGAUCAUGUCAUCUGUUUAUUAUUUUAGGACAUAGUUUCUGUUGUUUGCAAUACCUAGACAUUUAUCUAAACAGGCAUACUUAAGCAUCCUUAGACUGCCACACUCCACAUUUCUCUUAUAUUUUACUCUGUAAGCUGGACUCUUGAGAAUGAAUAUGUUGGAAAAUUAGAAUUGAAAUACAAGAAAAUUGAUCUUUUGUUAUUUUAGUUAAAACUUUCUAUAUUGACAGAUAAUCACUAUGAUAUUUUCUAUUUAAAUACAAAGUGUAAGAUAGCAGGUAGAUUUUUUAAUGUAUAAUGAUAUUCAGUAGCUCAGUAAUAACUUGACAUCAGAAGUCCAAUUAGGACUAUUGUGUUUCCAAGUCUUUUACUUAUAAACCUCAAACACUUAAUAAUUGAAGUGUGAAGAAGAAAGGCAAUGAUGUCAAUUAAUAAAAAAGGCAUUAUAUCUUUGUUCUAAAAAUAUUCACAUGAAAUAUUCACUUUCAUUUUAAAUUCUUACAUAGUCAAGUGAUGAUAAAGAUAAAUGUCAUAAUAUAUAUAUGACCUCAGGGUUUCAUAAGACAUGAAGAACUGAACUAGAUAGGAAAAGAUAAGUAAACAAAGUUUUACAAUCAAUUAUGAGAAAAUAUUGACAACAUGUAGGACAGAGAUAGGAUUAAUAUAGCCCAGUAUUCACUCUGAAGGUCACUAUUCCUGAUUCACAGAAACCUCUCUCAAAUUGAUUUUUUUUUUUUUAAAAAAAAGGCAAAUUGCAAUAGGCAUUUUAAAAUUCAGAUUAUCAGUAAGUAUAUACAAAGAUGUUUAACCUCAUUAAUUAUCAGUACCUCAAGACAAUAAGAUGCCAAUUUUUAUCCAUUGGCAGGAACCUGAAAGGUUGAGAAUAACCAGUGAUUGAGCACUUGUUGGAAAAUUGGAAAUCUCAUAUGUUCCAGGCGUGAGAGUAUGUUGUUAACACUAUUGGAAACACAUUGGAGUUCUUUUACAGCUGCUACCUUGUGCAUGAGCAUUCAUUUUCCAUGUGAAGAUUGAAUUAUUUGUCUAAGUCACUGCCCUACUGAAAUUUCACAGUAUAUUUGAGGGGAACUGGACCACGAACACACAGGUUGUUUGUUCUUCAUGGAGGCUCAGACAUGGAUCUACUGAUGAGCGAGAUCACAAAUGCAGCUACAACAAUCAAAGUCUUGGGAGAACCAGAAUGUACCUCAUAAAGUAACUAGAAUGAAGAGCCUAGUGUGUGAGUGGAAUCUUCCAGCCUGAAAUCCAUUCUCUUGACAAACAGGAUUUGAGACUUUAAAGCAAGUUUGGAAUAUCCUUCUGCAAGAUGUAGUGGAAAUCCUAAUGCUAGAAGAACAAAUUGCUUGCCCAGCUCCAUGGAUCUCGGAGUGUCUGUAAGUGUUUUUAGAGCCACCCCCAGUCUUGUGUUGCUUGCGAUUUUUUUCUUCCCUCACACACCUCUUGCCCAUUUUAUUAUGCAUAUUUGAAGAAAAGGAAGAGUUUUGCUUCGUGAAAAGGAAGCGUGAAUCUCCUAGAAAACCACUCUUGUAGUUUAAAUAUUAUUUGAAUAUAUGGCAACUCUAAUUCUAAAAUUUAAAAAAAUAAAAAGAUUGAGUAAAUUCCUGAAUCAGUUCUAAAUGCCAUUCACAAUUUGACGAGUUUUCUGUAAGGAAGGCUUCAUUUCCCCUCAUUUUAUUAGUCUUACAUAUAAUACUGCUAAAAUUUUCUUCAUAAGCACCAGUGUCAAAUAAAUCUAAUUUUUUAUAUAGUUUUAAUUUAUUAAUUCUCUGUUGAUUGUCAUUAAUCUAAUUUUCUCCUCCUUUCUCUCCCUUCACCCCCCUCUUUUACAUAAGUACAAAGCCGGGUCUUAUAGUAAUAGCAUAAUAAUUAAAACUGCUUCCUUAAAGCGCCCCAUUCCUUACACUGCUAUUCCUCCUGCCAGAGCAGCCUGUUUGUGCUGUCUCCCCCCUCCCACUGCCUCUCUGGUUUCCCCUGCUCACCUGAAACCCUCAGAUGGCAACCAGUGACAGGCUCCCUGAGCACCCUGUUUCCUUCCACAAUUAAACACUGCUGCCAGAGGCCGGUCACUGGUGUGCACAACUCCCUCACCCCAAGUGAAUCAUUGUUAUGUGUGAGGUUUUAGGAUAUUAUUAAUUUACUGUGCAUCACCCUGUUUAGGAAUGUACAACAGAAAAGCAGCGAGACACAGGCCAGAGCACCUUAUAGAAUCAACUCAACUGAAAGAGGAAAGAGAACCAUUUCAAACCAUUCAUUCCAAAUUAGAGAAUCACUUUAAGUUUUGUGAAUAAUAGUGUGACUAAAUGUGAAAUUUUCAAAUUUCACAAAGCCAGACUUACUGUUAGAAUCAGGGAGGUUGUGCAAUUCUAAUAACUGUGGGAUGUAUUUUCUGCCCCAGCCCCCAGGAAGAAGUACAUCAUUUGAAUCACUCUUUUUUAUCAAACGUAUUAUUUGCUUUUCAGUUUCAAAUUUACUGAUUUAAAAGAUGUACUUUAUUUUGUGAAUUGUCAGAAAAUGUGAACAGAGAGAUAUUUUAUCCCCAUUUUAAAUUUUUUAUUUACUUAUUUAACUUUGUGUAUAUUUUAUUUCUAAAUAACAUAUACAUUUUAACAAUUAAUGCAUGUUUCAUAACAAUUCAUAUGGUUCUCUUUUCUUUUUUUGGAUUGAAACUAAAAACUAAACAGGAUUUUAGUGAUUUGGUUUAUAUUAGACAUACAUUAAAAAUUAAAUACAAAAACUAAGCAUAAAUCUGGCAAAUGAAAACAUGUUUUUAAAAGUAAAAAUAAUAACAACAAAGCAUCCUAGGAAAUAAUGACUAAAAUAACAUAGUUUUUAAGCUUCAUUUUUGGACAGCUAAUCUAUGUUGCUAUCUUUGAGAGUGAGAUUUCUAAAUAUAUUUUAGUUCUCUUUAACUGUGCUUAAUCAUACAAAGUGUGAUUGGCUUUGGAUUAAUACCAUUAUAGUUCUCAAAAACAGUUUUUCACUGAAAAACUGUGUUUGUUUUAGUCCUUGAAGCAGGAGUUAGUAGUAUAAAUGGUUUACCUCAUCAAUUUGACUAUCAGAAAAAGCAGGUCAUUCUUGUCACCUGACAGGUAAGAUUCUGCUGUCGCACUCAUUGUCCCAAGCUGGAUGAUGCUGAAGCCAUUCCAGGACAAUUCAUUGUUUUUAUCCUGUGUUUGUGUAAUUGUGAAGAAGGGGACAAGCACUUUUGUGGAUCUUUCAGGCCAGUCUCUUCUGUAUAGUUUGCUUUCUUUCUUCUAGUGAAUUGUAUCACCUAAUUUUAGCUGAAAUUAUUACUGGUUUCAUGUGACCUGGGAGAAUUAAAAAUAUUGUUCAGUAAGAAGACCCAGUCAAGAUGUUUUCCAUGCCAGCCUUAGCCGAGCCAUUUCUUAAUUGCAGCUCGUUUGGGAAUUUUAAAGUGUCAUUUUUGUUAGAGCUGGACCUGGCAAAGUCCACAGAGUCCUUCAGUAGAGUGUGAUGUGAAAUGGCAUCAUUUAAAUUAAAAAAUAAAUCUGAGAAAUGUUUCAGCCCUGAAAGUCAUGGGCGCUCAGCACCAGCUGCAGCAGCAGGGUGCAGCGCUCCCCUCCCCCUCAGUGGCUGCCCCUGUCUCUGUGCUGUCAUCUGGGCAGGGGCCAGGCCCAGGCCAC